rnacentral:tRNA from 1 species
UAAAAGUGUCCAGGGGCGGGAAUCGAACCCACAACCUUCUGCUUACCGGGCAGAUGCCAUGUCCACUAGGCUACCCUGUU